GGCAAGUCAGAAACAGCGAUCAUUGUAAAAUUUGCACAGACCUUGAAAGCCACAAUAACACAUUGGUGUUCAUUGUGAAAAUACAGUCAGGCUGAUGUGCUGUUCUCUUAUAUAGUAUUCAGAUGGUGUUGAUAAAUGGCCACAUCUUAAAAUAAACAUGUUUCUACUAAGCUAUAUUUCUCAGAUUUCCUUGUGUUCUCUGUCCUAAUUUGUAUCAAUUUUUCCUACUCCAGUGAUAGCUAACCAUGACACCAUAAAUUGUUUGUGGACUUCAUUUCCCAUGAUGCUCAGCUAGCUUUUAGACUCUAAAAGCUAGCUGAGCAUCAUGGGGAAUGUAGUCCAGAAACAAUUUAUGGUAUCAAGGUUAGC